CAUGGGGAACAAGCCUGUAAGCAACAAUCCCCGUGGGCUACAUCAGCUCCUGCCCUGAGGCAUCCAAGUUCCUGCCUGGUUUGAGUUCCUGUCUUGACUCCUUUCCAGGAUGAACACCCAUAACAUAAGUAGUAUGGACUGCUUCUGCUUCCAUGCUGACUGCUCCUGUUUCCACAGUGCUUCCUGUAACUCAUUCUCCACACAGUAGAAAAUACAAAAUGAGAAUCAGAAUUGAAGCAGAAGACAAGGACUAGAAAGAAUUCAGCUGACCAACAGCUUUAGGAACCCAGCUUUGGGUCUAAGAGGAGUUAUUGGAAACCCAGCUGGACCAAGACCCACCGAUUUUAACCAGGAUCAUCUCUGUGACUUUGCGUUUGGGUCUUGCUGUUAGAGCCUGGUGGGCAGCUAGCGGCUGUUCUCUCUCAGCGGUCAAUAUACUUCAUCACGAAGAGGCAGGGCGUAUGGGCUCCUCCUUGAUCCACGACUCACUGUGAUGGGACUAUCACACCGAAUGCACCUUAUUUUAUCAGAACUGAGUUUUAAUGCUCCCUCUUCAAACGCUGAUAGUCGCGGCUUUCAUCCAAGCCAAGUCACGAGCAAGAAGCCCACUGAGAAAUCAGGCAGGAACCAGG